AACAAACUUGGCACACAUAUUCAUGUCCUCGAGCAAAUCUGGUCUCAAGAGCGCACAAAUCUCAGCGGCUUCCCCAGAAUUGGUGGAUUUCUCAUAACUGCCCGCACGAGCAGUUUCCUUUUUCUCAACAGACGAAUCGGUCUCAACAGUAAAGGGAACUGGUUUUGGCACCAUUUUAGCAGGCAAAGGCACCUUGUCACUCUUCAUAAUAGUAAGCCUCUCCAAAGGUGAACUAGACU
rnacentral:lncRNA from 1 species